UCCCAGCACACCAGGAUCGACGUGUCCUCCUUCAGUCCGGACUCGGCGGAAUCUGCACCUGGGAGCCCCUCCCCAAAUGACCUGCUAGCCGCAGUCCAGGAAGCAGGCACCCCUCACUCCCCUUCUCAAAUGGGGGCUCUAUUCCUGUCUCUAGCUCUGGAGUUGUUGUGAGGAUAAAGGGAGGACCUGGCACACAGUAGGCACUCAACAAACCGUUCCUCUGUCUGUCUUGAGAGACUGCGGUGGGCCCUGCAGGGCAGCUGCCUGCCUCUGCCUGGUUCGAGGAAGGCCCAGCCAGGCCGGCCCCAGCUUCCUUCCUGCUCUUCUGUCCCACUCCGACCCACUCCGGAGAGCCACGCUCUGAGCCGCACAUGACUCUCUCCUUCUCCACAGAACAAUCUGUGUUCUGCUCCCGCCCCCGAGAGAGUUCUGAGCUUUCCAAAUAUGGAUGCUUUUUGCAUUCCCAAAGCAUCACGAACAUUUGGGAGAAGAAAAUGAACACCAGACAUGGUUUGGAAACGAUGGAAGCCAAGGGAUGGGUGGUGACGGAACAAGCACCGUACUAGGAGUUUUAAAAUAUAAAACACGAGUCUGGCCUAGGUGAUGUCUUACAACCUUACUAGCUUUGUAGCAGUCUAGGCCCCAAAGAGAUCCUAGAAGUAAGCACCCAAACCCUAAGAAUAAAAACUACAGCGGCCACCACCACACAUUGCAGAGGCGAAAACUGCAUUAAGGAGGCCCAGAGAGUCACCUGCUGUCAGAGGAAAUGAGCAGUGGGAGGCAGUCCCUUGAGAGCCAAACAGCUUGAAAGUUGACAAAUUGAGAUGAACCAGCUCGUCGGUGAGUGUAGGCAGAAGAGGCAUUAGACACAAGAGUAUUUGUUUUUAUAUCAGGCCCAAACCAAA
rnacentral:lncRNA from 10 species